rfam:Schistosoma margrebowiei strain Zambia genome assembly, scaffold: SMRZ_contig0000783
AUCCAACUGACGAGUCCGAAAUGAGACGAAAUGUGCGUCCUGGAC